UACGUAGGGGGCAAGCGUUGUCCGGAAUCAUUGGGCGUAAAGAGCGUGUAGGCGGCUCGGUAAGUCCGCUGUGAAAGUCCAGGGCUCAACCCUGGAAUGCCGGUGGAAACUGUCGAGCUAGAGUCCGGAAGAGGCGUGUGGAAUUCCUGGUGGAGCGGUGAAAUGCGCAGAUAUCAGGAGGAACACCCGUAGCGAAGGCGGCACUCUGGGCCGGAACUGACGCUGAGGAGCGAAAGCGUGGGGAGCGAACAGG
rnacentral:rRNA from 1 species